rnacentral:rRNA from 1 species
CAUGGGCUUCGGCCUGAUGGCGAGUGGCGAACGGGUGAAUAAUGCAUCGGAACGUGCCCAGUCGUGGGGGAUACCGUAGCGAAAGUUACGCUAAUACCGCAUACGACCUGNGGGAGAAAGCGGGGGACCGAAAGGCCUCGCGCGAUUGGAGCGGCCGAUGUCAGAUUAGCUAGUUGGUGGGGUAAAGGCCCACCAAGGCGACGAUCUGUAGCGGGUCUGAGAGGAUGAUCCGCCACACUGGGACUGAGACACGGCCCAGACUCCUACGGGAGGCAGCAGUGGGGAAUUUUGGACAAUGGGGGCAACCCUGAUCCAGCCAUGCCGCGUGCGGGAAGAAGGCCUUCGGGUUGUAAACCGCUUUCGGACAGAAAGAAAUCGCACGGGAUAAUACCUUGUGUGGAUGACGGUACUGUAAGAAGAAGCACCGGCUAACUACGUGCCAGCAGCC